GACGAACGCUGGCGGCGUGCUUAACACAUGCAAGUCGAACGGUAAGGCUCUGUUUUUGCAGCGUUCUCGAGUGCCGAACAGGUGUGUAUCACGUGUGUAACCUGCCCCUUUCUUUGGGAUACCUUCUGUAGACUCGGGCUCUUACCCGAUAUGACCUCCUUCUACAUGGUUUUUGUUGUUGAGUUUCGGCGUUUGGGGAUGGACUCGCGGCUUAUCGUCUUGUUGGUGGGGUAGUGGAUUACCAAGGCUUUGACGGGUAGCCGGACUGAGAGGGUGACCGGCCACAUUGGGACAGAGAUACGGCCCGGACUCAUACGGGAGGAAGCAGUGGGAAAUAGUGCAAGAUAGGCGGAAGCCUGAUGGAGCAACGCCGCGUGCGGGAUGACGGCCUUCGGGUUGUAACCCGCGUGCGACUGUGAAGAAGAGUAAGUGACGGUAAUGGGUAAAGAAGAACCGGCUAACUACGUG
rnacentral:rRNA from 1 species